CCGGCUACGGAUGGCCAUGCGGCGCAUUAGCUAGUUGGCGGGGUAACGGCCCACCAAGGCGACGAUGCGUAGGGGUUCUGAGAGGAAGGUCCCCCACACUGGUACUGAGACACGGACCAGACUCCUACGGGAGGCAGCAGUGAGGAAUAUUGGUCAAUGGCCGCAGGGCUGAACCAGCCAAGUCGCGUGAGGGAUGACGGUCCUAUGGAUUGUAAACCUCUUUUGUCAGGGAGCAAAGGACGCCACGUGUGGCGUUUUGCGAGUACCUGAAGAAAAAGCAUCGGCUAACUCCGUGCCAGCAGCCGCGGUAAUACGGAGGAUGCGAGCGUUAUCCGGAUUUAUUGGGUUUAAAGGGUGCGCAGGCGGAAUGUCAAGUCAGCGGUAAAAUUUCGGGGCUCAACCCCGUCGUGCCGUUGAAACUGGCGUUCUUGAGUGAGCGAGAAGUAUGCGGAAUGCGUGGUGUAGCGGUGAAAUGCAUAGAUAUCACGCAGAACUCCGAUUGCGAAGGCAGCAUACCGGCGCUCAACUGACGCUCAUGCACGAAAGCGUGGGUAUCGAACAGGAUUAGAUACCCUGGUAGUCCACGCAGUAAACGAUGAAUACUAACUGUCCGGGCCGAUUGAGGUCUGG
rnacentral:rRNA from 1 species